AGGAACAUGAUAAUAGUAUACUUUUUAUAUUAAGUAUACUUACAAAAUAAACUUGAAGUAUACUUAUUUUUUAUAAGGGAUAUCAUGAUCUUCCUAGACAAGAACAUAAUUUGGUUCUAUUUUUAAUUUUCUACAUAUUCUGAAUACAACCUAUGUGUACAAGUGGCACAGAGACAAUGUAAAGUAAUAUAAAUAAGUAACAUUUAUGUAUUUUUUAUUUAGGUGUCAUGUAUCCAGUCAGGGAUACUGCGUCAUUUGUUUUCUGCAAUUUGGCCAAGACGUCUCUGCCAUUUUUAUGAGCAUACUUUGAAUCUUUGCCUGCCAUUCAUUCUCAGUUUUUCUCUAUCCAUUGGAACAUUGUGUCCCAAUUGCUGUCUUUAGAAGACAGAAAAAGGACUGCUGGUUAGAAUAGGUGCAAUAAAAAACAAACAGGUUCAUGUGUAACACAAUUGUUAAGGAACGGACCUAAAAUGGCUGACGCGAAAGAGGCCAUUUUGUUUUCUUGUUUUGUUUGUGGAGCAGUAUCCAUGCUUUGUGUUCAAUCCGAAGCAGCUGGUAGCAGCCAUAUUUUCAGGCAUCUGUGUGUGUACCACCAUCUGAGAAAACAGCAGCAUGCAAAGGGCCAGCCUUCUGGAAUGAGCUCAGAUUUUUUGGCUAAAACGGAAACAAAUUCCUGGCUCUGUUGGUAGCUUUUUUCCCUCCCUCCGUCUCUCGAUCACAUGCCAGAGUCUCGGGAAGCCAGUAUAAUAGCUGUAUGUGUGUUAUCUGACAUCAUGGCUGCUGCCUGGUGCUGCUGUCCUUGGGGCUGAGGUAGUAGAUUGAAUAGUUGUGGAGGAGUGCAACCUCCCUCUGAGAUAACUGUACAAUCUACUGUCUUUCCUAAGGUGACAGCUGAGUCAGCCAACAAUCAAAUACCUUUACUUGAUGGACAGGCCAUUCAUCCGGUCCAUCAUGCAGGGUUGGAUCCAAACAGACUUUCUGGGAAAGUUUCACUUUGGUCAACAACCAAACAGUAUUAUUUAUAUUGUAACUUUUAGAGAUUGGGUAGUCUCAGGUUGAGGUAGUAGGUUGUAUAGUUUGGUGGGAGGGAUGGCAUCCCGUCUCAGGUGAUAACUAUACAGUCUAUUGCCUUCCCUGAGGACCUCACUAGCUUCCAUCCAAGUGCUCUGCUUUCCUUGCGUCUAAAAAUAAAGAUGAAACUGGUAGGAUGUUGAUUCUUCCACACAGUGGUUUAUUGUAAAGUUCAUGUUCAGAUCUUGUUGUUGUUGAUAAGACACAUUGACAUAUGUGGAUAUACAGUAUGAACACUGACACGUUUACAAAUAGAUGUGCCACAACUGCCUGUCCAUAUGUAUGUGCUCCUCGAAAGAUCUUGUCAUUGUGCUGGUCAUUAAUUAUAAUAUAAAUUAUGACAUAUUCUUUUUUCAAAAGUGUGCAAGGAUAUUAGUUUGAAAAAGUUAUGUCACAAACAAUUAUGUGUACGCACAUGUAAGCAUUAAUGUUGUUUUGACAUUUAUCAGGUAAGAAUACACAUAAAAAAUAAAUAGCUGAAUUCUGAA